AUUAAGGGUGCCCCUCGACACAUCCUCUUGUCCCCCCGGCCAGUCAGUGGCACUGGGCACCCUCUCCAAGGACUUGUGAAAGGUGAGGGUUUUGACAGCUCCUGGAAACAAAAGCCCGUGAUCUCUCCCCAGAGAGCCUGUCCCAGGCAAAGAGGGAGCCUUUCCUCGAAGCUAUCCAUGUUAGCGCUGUUCAGUCUUCACGAAAGGAAGAAAGUGGGACGCCCAAGAAAGGGCCGUGCUGAUAUGGGAGCCAAUUCUGCGCGGAUGUCGCGACCCGGUGAUUACCUUGCUCGUCCAGAUGAACCCUGUUCAUAUUAGUUUAUUGGUCUCCCUUGCAACGGGGCAUUCUCCAUUUAGUCCUACGUUCUCUGCACCGGAAAAGUGGCCGAGAAAAUGGUCCAAGGACGGUUCCUGCCCGUGCUUUUGAUGAGGCCGGUCGUUCUGGUAGCGUCGCAUGCCAUGUGUUCAGCCAACAUCAUCCUGUCGUUUAAAAAGCUCCUCGGUGUUGCCCCUGUGCUGGGUUCCUGCACCUACGGCACCGUCAGAGAGCACCGCAGGCAGCAGGUAGGCUUGUCUCCUUAGCCCAGCACUUGACUGGCUACAAGACCCGGCUGCACUCUUUAGAAUGGGAUUUUCCAACAUUUUCUAUUAAAUGAAAAUUUUCAAGUCAAAUCAGCCAAAUCAAUUCCAAAUCCAUGAAUCCUACAAGAACCAAAUGUGGCCCUGCUCCCUGCAAACACCCUCCACCCCAG
rnacentral:lncRNA from 1 species